UCCGUAGGGAAACCGAGUCUUAAUAGGGCGAAUUAGUUGCUGGCAUUAGACCCGAAACCCGGUGAUCUAUCCAUGGCCAGGUUGAAGAUGCCGUAACAGGCAUUGGAGGACCGAACCCACAAAUUUGAAAAAUUUGGGGAUGAGCUGUGGAUCGGAGUGAAAGGCUAAUCAAACCGGGAGAUAGCUGGUUCUCCUCGAAAUCUAUUUAGGUAGAGCGUCAUCCGAAUACCCCCGGGGGUAGAGCACUGGAUGGGUAAUGGGGCCCCACAGGCUUACUGAUCCUAACCAAACUCCGAAUACCGGGGAGUACUAGAUGGCAGACACACGGCGGAUGCUAACGUCCGUCGUGAAGAGGGAAACAACCCUGACCGACAGCUAAGGCCCCCAAUUCAUGGCUAAGUGGGAAAGCAGGUGGGACGACCAAAACAACCAGGAGGUUGGCUUAGAAGCAGCCAUCCUUUAAAGAUAGCGUAACAGCUCACU
rnacentral:rRNA from 13 species